rnacentral:rRNA from 1 species
GAGUUUGAUCUUGGCUCAGAUUGAACGCUGGCGGCAUGCCUUACACAUGCAAGUCGAACGGCAGCACGGGAGCUUGCUCCUGGUGGCGAGUGGCGAACGGGUGAGUAAUGCAUCGGAACGUAUCCUGGAGUGGGGGAUAACGUAGCGAAAGUUACGCUAAUACCGCAUAUUCUGUGAGCAGGAAAGCGGGGGACCUUCGGGCCUCGCGCUCUUGGAGCGGCCGAUGUCGGAUUAGCUAGUUGGUGAGGUAAAGGCUCACCAAGGCGACGAUCCGUAGCAGGUCUGAGAGGAUGAUCUGCCACACUGGAACUGAGACACGGUCCAGACUCCUACGGGAGGCAGCAGUGGGGAAUUUUGGACAAUGGGGGCAACCCUGAUCCAGCCAUGCCGCGUGAGUGAAGAAGGCCUCGGUG